UACAGAGACCUCAAGCGUUAUCCGGAAUCAUUGGGCGUAAAGCGUACCGAUCGGUGGUUAAGAUAGUCAGAUGUGAAAUCUCCGAGCUCAACUCGGAAUCUGUCAUUUGAAACUUCUUGACUAGAGGGGCAAAGAGGAAGCUGGAACAAACGGUGUAGUAGUGAAAUGCGUUGAUAUCGUUUGGAACACCAAUAGCGUAGGCAGGCUUCUGGGUGCCACCUGACACUGCUAGGACGAAAGCGUGGGGAGCGAAUGGG
rnacentral:rRNA from 1 species